rnacentral:lncRNA from 1 species
CUACAACACCUAAUAAUGGCAUGGCAAUUACAUAUGCACAAAAAUAGAGCCGGAGGGGCUGAAGUUGAAAGAUGUAAAGGCAAAAAAUUAUUUGUUCUAGGCCAUUGAUCGAUCUAUCCUUGAAACUAUUCUCAGCAAAAAAAAAAAAAAAAAACUUCUAAGGAUAUUUUGGAUUCAAUAAAGAAAAAUAUCAAGGCUCUUCCAGAGUAAAGUGUGCACAGCUUCAAGCCUUGAGAAGGGAGAGUUUGAGACUUUACAAAUGAAGGAUGGUGAAUCCAUGACCAUCAUUGUGUAAAGACUAUGGAAAUAGUUGACAAAAUGCGAUUCAAUGGUGAGAAGAUGGACGAUGUUGCCAUCGUUGAGAAGAUAUUGUGUUUUUUGGCUUCAAAGUUUGAUUACGUUGUUUGAUCAAUUGAAGAAUCCAAAGACAUAGAUGUCCUUUCACUUGAUAAACUCCAGAGCUCGUUGUUGGUCCAUGAAUAGAAGAUAAAUCAAAAUUUAUCUACAGAAGAGCAAGCUUUAAAGGCUUUUACCUUUAACCAUUCCUCAUAUUCUCGAGGUAGAGGUGGAGGAAAGGGAGAUCGAGGCAAUAGGGAUGGCAAUUGUAGCAGGCAGCAGCCAAAUGAUCAAAAUAAUGAUAAAUUUCAUGGAAAGGCAGAGGAUGGGAAUUCAACAAAUCCAAGGUAGAAUGCUUUCAAAGUCAUAGAUUUGGUCAUUUUCGUUCCGACUGUAAUACUAAGCUUCUUAAUGACAAAGAAAAGGGAUGGGAAUCAAAUUUUACAGAAAAGAAGGAAAUAGAAACUCUAGUGAUGGCUAGUUAAGUCAAUGAGGAACAUAAGUCAAAUAUGUGAUAUAUCGAUACAAGGUGCAGCAACCACAUUUGUGAGAGUAAAUCUUCUUUUUCUUAUCUAAAUGAAGACUUUCGUUCUACGAUGAGUUUUGGUGAUUGUUCUAUUGUUAAGGUAAUGGGAAACGGUGAAAUUAAUAUUAGAACUAAGAACGAUUUUGUAGAAACAAUUUCCAAUGUCUUUAUUGUUUCUGAUUUGAAAAGUAACAAGAAAAGUGCUGGUUAAUUGCAAGAAAAGAUUAUGUAAUAACUAUCCAACUUGGUGUUAGUGAGAUAUAUAAUCCUUUUAGAGGAGCUAUUGUUGCUAUUCAAAUGAGUUCAAACAGGUUGUUUCCUUUGAAGAUUGAAAUUGCUCAACCUUGUUUGAUGGCUGAAAUAAAAAAUCCUUCAUGGCUUUGGCAUUUUCGUUAGAAUAAUACUAUUUGCAAUCACUCACUAUCGUAGUCAUCUUAUGUGGCACACAUGUGAUUGUUAAUUAUUUGAUAUAUGUGGUAAGAAGAAACUAUCAAAUUAAUACAUCAAAUCACAAACCGAAAUGUAGAAUACCAAGUAAGGCAACUACUGCAGUGAUCGACUAUAAAUAGCAUUACUUUUUUCGUUAUGGUAAUUUGAACAUUAGUGGAUUAAGGACAUUUCAAUAGAAAUAUAUGGUGACAUGUCUUCCUCAAAUUGUCACUCCUUGUAAAGUUUGUGAAGAAUGUGUUGUUGGAAAAUAAUAUCGUUCUCAAUUUCCUCAAGGAAAGUCAUGGAGAGCAAAAAAAAUGUCUUGGAGCUAGUUCAUUCCAAUAUUUGUGGGCCAAUUUACCUUCUUGAUGAUUAUUUUCAAAAAAAAACAUGGGUUUAUUUUCGUAGGAGAAAUCAGAAGCUUUUAGUGCAUUCAAAAGCUUUAAGGCGUGUGUGGAGAAUGAAUCAUAAAGAGUCAUUAAAUCUCGUUGCACUGAUCAUGGUAGAGAAUGUUGUUCAUAGGAAUUUGAUGUUUUAUUGUAAUAGGCAUGGUAUUCGAAGGAAACUCACAGCCGCCUAUCAACAAAAUGGCGUGUCAGAGAGGAAGAAUAGAACCAUCUCAACAUGGUGAGAAGCUUGUUGGCAAGAGAGAAAAUUCCCAAAAAUUUCUAGCCCGAGGUAGUAAAUUGGGGCAUUUAUGUGUUGAACAGAAGUCCUACUUUUUCUGUUCAAAACAUGACACCUGAGGAAGCUUGGAGCGGAUGGAAAUUGAAAAAGGCAUUAUAGAGACUAAAGCAAGCACCAAGAGCUUGGUAUAGUCAUAUAGAUGUUUAUUUCUCAAGAAAAGGGUUUCUUAAAUGUCCUCACGAUCAUAAGCAUUUUACAAAGCUAGGAAAUAAUGAUAAAAUGCUUGUUUAUGUGCCUUUAAGUUGAUGAUAUGAUAUAUACUGGUAAUGAUAGUGCUAUGAUUAAUGCUUUUAAGAAAAAUAUGAUGAGUGAAUUUGAUAUGUCAAAUUUGGGAUUAAUGCAUUUUUUCCUUGGUAUUGAAGUUGUGCAAUCAUCUGUUGGUAUCUUUAUGUCACAUUUGACUAAGGAAUUCUGUAUGGAGCAAGAACAAAGGAAAAAUUGUUUGGUUUUUCUAGCAGUGAUUAUGCUAGAGAUCUUGAUGAUAGAAAAAAUACAUUCAUGUUUGUUUUUAUGAUGAGUUUUGGAGUUGUUUCAUGGUCAUCGAAGAAACAACAAAUUGCAACUUUAUUAACCACAGAAGUUGAAUUUGUUGUAACAGCCUCAAGCUCUUGUCAAGUUUUUUAGCUGAGGGGGCUACUGGAACACUUCAAAACCAGCAAAAAGGUCCAACAAUCAUACACCUUGUCAACUAUCAAAAUUUCAAAAAAUUUAGUUCUCCAUGGAAGGAGCAAUCAUAUAGAUGUGAGAUACCAUUUUUUGCGUGAUCUCUGCAAUGGUGGUAUAGUUGAUUCAAUGUUCUGCAAGAGCGAAGAGCAGGUGGCUGAUAUUAUGACUAAAUCGCUUAAACAAGUAGCGUUUGUAAAGCUUAGAAGAAUGUUGGGAGUACGUUCUUCACAGGAUGUCAUUUUAGAUUCUUGAAUUUCUUCUUAAACUGAUUUCUGCAGAUAUCAGUUUAAGGAAGGGUGUUAGGAUUUAUUUAUUUAAAUUAAUUACUAUUAGUUUGUAUGUUCGACUCUAUAGCUAUUUUGCUUAGUGGUUAGAGUUGUUUAGAAAGUAACUUUUGUGGUAGCUUUUCUUUUGCCUAGUUUAUUAGAAUCAGCUUUUGCCUAUAUAAAGGCUGUGGGUCGAUGAAUAAUAUCAUCAAUUUCAGUACCAACUCCUUUCAAUUUUUUCUCUCAUGUUCUUCACUUUAUUUGGUACAGUAGAACAUUAUCAUUUCCAGUGUUGCA